AAUCAACGCUGGCGGCGUGCCUCAGACAUGCAAGUCGAACGCGAAAGGCUCCUUCGGGGGCCGAGUAGAGUGGCGUCCGGGUGAGUAACACGUGGGUAAUCUACCUUCGGGUGGGGAAUAACAGUCGGAAACGACUGCUAAUACCGCAUGAUGCAGCGGCACCACAUGGUGACAGUUGUUAAAGCGGGGGAUCGCAAGACCUCGCGCCUGAAGAGAAGCCCGCGGCAGAUUAGCUAGUUGGUAAGGUAAUGGCUUACCAAGGCAACGAUCUGUAGCCGGCCUGAGAGGGCGGUCGGCCACACUGACACUGAAUAACGGGUCAGACUCCUACGGGAGGCAGCAGUCGGGAAUUUUGGGCAAUGGGCGCAAGCCUGACCCAGCAACGCCGCGUGAAGGAUGAAGUAUUUCGGUAUGU
rnacentral:rRNA from 1 species